GUGAGCUGGAGGUUUUGAAUGUGUGUCCUGCCCCUGACACUGGAGCUCAAUAUCAGUCUGACUGUGAAUCAGCAUCUCUGUCCUUCAGUUCUCUGAGCUUCAGUGAAGAUGAAGACGCUCGCUCUGAUCAUCUGCUCUCUGCUGCUGAUCCUCCACGAGUGUGGAGGACAGAUCAGCGUCACUCAGAGUCCCUCAAUCACAGCAGAACCAGACAAACCCGUGUCCAUCACCUGCAGAACCAGCAGAGAUGUGCAGAGAUGGAAUGAUGGAGAUGAAGGUUUAUUCUGGUAUUUGCAGAAACAUGGAGAAGCUCCUAAACUCCUGAUUCGUUAUGUGAAAAAGCUUCAGUCAGGAACUGCAUCUAGAUUCAGUGGCAGUGGAUCUAACAGAGAUUUCACUCUGAGCAUCAGUGGAGUCCAGACUGAAGAUGCUGGACAUUAUUACUGUCAGAGUUUCCACAGUGGUCCAGUGUUGACACAGUGAUAAAGAGUGAUACAAAAACCUCCGUCAGUCAGAGUCGCAGAGACUGAACUGAUCCUGGAGCAGCUCAAACACUGAACACACACAAUGGCUUUGAACCAACACAUAUUGAUUUGAAUAUAAAGUUUGCUUGAGCUUUAUCAGUUUUUCUGAAAAUAAUUUCUACUUAUCCUCAUGUAAUUGUUUCAGCAUAAUUUUCUCAUCUCCACUAUCAAUAUUUUAAAAUCACUUAAAACAUACUUUUACAGUACAUGCU